AGCGAACGCUGGCGGCAGGCCUAACACAUGCAAGUCGAACGGGCCCUUCGGGGUUAGUGGCGGACGGGUGAGUAACACGUGGGAACGUGCCUUUAGGUUCGGAUAGCUCCUGGAAACGGGUGGUAAUGCCGAAUGUGCCCUUCGGGGGAAAGAUUUAUCGCCUUUAGAGCGGCCCGCGUCUGAUUAGCUAGUUGGUGGUGUAACGGACCACCAAGGCGACGAUCAGUAGCUGGUCUGAGAGGAUGAUCAGCCACAUUGGGACUGAGACACGGCCCAAACUCCUACGGGAGGCAGCAGUGGGGAAUCUUGCGCAAUGGGCGAAAGCCUGACGCAGCCAUGCCGCGUGAAUGAUGAAGGUCUUAGGAUUGUAAAAUUCUUUCACCGGGGACGAUAAUGACGGUACCCGGAGAAGAAGCCCCGGCUAACUUCGUGCCAGCCGCCGCCGUAAGAC
rnacentral:rRNA from 1 species